UGCUAAGCAACUGCGUUGGCGUCCAACAGACGUGCGCUUAUUCCAGGCAGGUCUGUUAUCAACAGAGAGUUUAUUACCAAAUAUGAGCUUUUAAUACCGAAACAAACAACUUUGAAAUGAUGACGGAUUCUGGUUUUGACUGAUUUUAUGAUGACAGGUAAAAAACGGCUCCAGUCACCAGAAGCAGUGCAAAAUGAACUGGCAACAGGAUGAACCUAAAGUAAUAGAUGAGGAGAUGCUAAAACAAGCAAUUGAGGAACAGGGACCUCAGGGACAAGCUGGAGAUAUAUCCAAGAAAGAGGGCGUCCAGUAUGAAGACGUGCUACAACUAAGACUCGACUACAGGAACAUCCUGAAGAUUUACCACCUGUGGCAUUUCACCUCUUUAACAAAACUUCAGCUGGAUAAUAAUGUUAUCGAGAGGAUUGAAGGAUUAAAAAAUCUGACUAAUUUGGUCUGGCUUGAUCUGUCAUUUAAUAACAUUCAAGUGAUUGAAGGACUGAACUCUCUUGUGAAACUUAAGGACUUGAGCUUAUUCAACAACCGCAUUUCUGUCAUCGAAAACCUGGAUUCUCUGCGAGACCUGCACGUCCUCUCUUUUGGAAACAAUGCAAUUGCUCAGCUUGAAAAUGUGUUAUACCUAAGAAAAUUUAAGAAUUUACGCACUCUCAAUCUUGCGGGAAACCCUAUCUGUGAGGAAGAGAGCUACAAGACAUUUGUGACAGCGUAUCUUCCAGACUUAGUUUAUCUGGACUACAGACUGCUGGAUGAACAAACACGUGAAACUGCCUAUACAAAGUAUAAGUAUGCAAUUGAGGGAAUGCAAGAAAAUGAGCUCCAGGAGCAGCAGGCAAUUGAGGCUCAGAAGAUCAGCAACGAGGAGCUUCAGCUGCACAAGGAUGCAUUCGUGGAGUUCUUGAAUGGACCUCAGCUCUAUGACAGCAUGUUUGAUGAAGAUCCUGAUGGGGAGAAACUGGCUCUUCUCCCUGGAAUGGAAGAAUUGCUUGAGUCUUUUAAGAGCAAGAUGGAGGCUCUCUGUGUGCAGAUAUUUGAUGCGGGUUUGACUCAGCAUGCUCAGAGAACGGCUGAGGUGGAAUCCUUUUUUUCCUGUUCCCAUGAGGCAGUGGCUGAUAAUCGGCAGAAAGCAGCACAAAUAGCAGCUGACUUUGAAAGCUCCCGGAGGCAGAAAAUAUUGGAAAUGCAACAGAUCACAGAUGUCGAGCUACUUGAAGACCACAUCAGUUUGUGCCAGGAGCAGGCCAGCCAGCUCUCUGAAACCCUCUUGAGUCUGGAACUGCAGCUGGUGGACCAAUUGGAGGACAUCUUCAAAGACUUUGAGAGGAGCAUCUCAGACAUGGUUGGAGGGUUUAUUGAAUAUGUGCAAGGGAUAUUUGCACAGUGCCGAGACCUGGAGAACCAGCACCAUGAACAACAGCUGGAGAUUGCCUUGGCAACACUGGAGAAGGUGGUCAAAAAUGAGCUAGAGGAGGAAAUCCCUGAUGAUAUGGCCAUGACACAUAUUUUAGGAUUGAUCCUGUUUUGUCCUCAUUUCUUAUGCUGCUAUGUAGCUGCUGGUAGAUAAAGACACAGUAACCAAUGCAGUCAGUGCUUCCCACGACAUCCACCUGCUGAAGAUUGAUAACAGGGAGGAUGAGCUACUGACACGGAUCAACAGCUGGAUGAGCGGACUGCUGAAAUCAAUACAUGAUGAAGAAGUGAAGAGGAAUCGCAAGCGCACCUCAGAGAUCCGAAACUACGUUAGUUACGUGAAGGAUGAGCUGGAGGACAUGCGAUUGUCUGAGCACCAUUAAAAUCUUUCUCAAAUCUGAUUCGUAAAAAAAAAAAAAAAAAAAUCCUGUAAAAUAAUUUAGCUAUUUUGUUGUUAGUAAACAAGUAUGCAUCUGUAUUAUUUUUGUUUAUUAAAUACAGAGAUGCAGCCCUUUUGACGUUUUUUGUUUUUUGUAUUUCAUGAAAUGCUGCCAU